ensembl:lncRNA
GAUGAGCGUGUCUGGAGAGGGAAGGAUGGAGGGAGGGAAGUCGGAGGGAAGGAUGGAGGGAGUAGAGUCGGAGGGAUGGAUAGACGGAACGGAUGAGCGUGUCUGGAGAGGGAAGUAUGGAGGGAGGAGAGUCGGAGGGAUGGAUAGAAGGAACGGAUGAGCGUGUCUGGAGAGGGAAGGAUGGAGGGAGGAGAGUCGGAGGGAAGGAUGGAGGGAGGAGAGUCGGAGGGAUGGAUAGAAGGAACGGAUGAGCGUGUCUGGAGAGGGAAGGGUGGAGGGAGGAGAGUCGGAGGGAUGGAUAGACGGAACGGAUGAGCGUGUCUGGAGAGGGAAGGAUGGAGGGAGGAGAGUCGGAGGGAUGGAUAGAAGGAACGGAUGAGCGUGUCUGGAGAGGGAAGGAUGGAGGGAGGAGAGUCGGAUGGAGGGAGGAGAGUCGGAAGGAUGGAUAGAAGGAACGGAUGAGCGUGUCUGGAGAGUGAAGGAUGGAGGGAGCAGAGUCGGAGGGAUGGAUAGACGGAACGGAUGAGCGUGUCUGGAGAGGGAAGGAUGGAGGGAGGAGAGUCGGAGGGAUGGAUAGAAGGAACGGAUGAGCGUGUCUGGAGAGGGAAGGAUGGAGGGAGGAGAGUCGGAGGGAUGGAUAGACGGAACGGGUGAGCGUGUCUGGAGAGGGAAGGAUGGAGGGAGGAGAGUCGGAGGGAUGGAUAGAAGGAACGGGUGAGCGUGUCUGGAGAGGGAAGGAUGGAGGGAGGAGAGUCGGAGGGAUGGAUAGACGGAACGGAUGAGCGUGUCUGGAGAGGGAAGGAUGGAGGGAGGAGAGUCGGAGGGAAGGAUAGACGGAACGGAUGAGCGUGUCUGGAGAGGGAAGGAUGGAGGGAGGAGAGUCGGAGGGAUGGAUAGACAGAACGGAUGGAUUGAUGGGGGGGGUGGACAGAGACAGGGAUGUAUAAGAGGGAGGGAUGUAGAUAGGGAGGGAUUGAGGAAGGGAGAGGGAGGGAUUGAGGUAGGGAAGGAUUGAGGGAGGGAGGGAGCAUAACUAGGGUCAGUGGAGGUGUUGGCGCAUGGGGAUUUGAGAUGACAAGUGGACUGGCAACAGGAAGAGGACAAGGCUACAGGAAGUGGACUGGUUAUAUUAUAUUGGCUGGGGUGGUGUGGUAGCCUACAGGAAGUGGACUGGUUAUAUUAUAUUGGCUGGGGUGGUGUGGUAGCCUACUUGAAUGAAAUUCUACUAUAUCCUUUGGGGUUGUUGAGU